rnacentral:lncRNA from 1 species
UAGAGGUAGAACAACCACUGGAACUGUUAUUGCAUGUCUAGUGAAGCUCCGCAUCAAUUAUGGAAGACCUAUUAAGGUUCUGUAUGAUGUUCUGACCCAUGAAAUCGUGGAUGAAGAUUCAUCAAGUGGUGGUGAAGAAACUGGAAGCAAUACCGCUGAAACAAGACCUCUUAUUUCAGAAAGAAGAACCGAGGACCAGCAGGGCCGUACAUUUGGAAUGGAUGACAUCCUCCUGCUGUGGAAAAUCACUAGGUUAUUCGAUAACGGAGUUGAAUCUCGUGAGGCGUUAGAUGCUGUGAUUGAUAGAUGUUCUGCUUUGCAAAACAUUCGUGAAGCUGUUCUGCAGUACAGGAAAGUUUUUAACCAACAACAUGUUGAGCCAAGAGUAAGAAGUGCUGCUUUGAAACGUGGCGCUGAAUAUCUGGAGAGAUACUUCCGGUUGAUUGCCUUUGCAGCAUAUCUUGGAAGUGAAACUCUAGACGACUUCUUUGUGAAAGGAGGGUCUAAGGUGACUUUCAAGAAUUGGCUGCAUCAGAGACCUGAGGUGCAAGCGAUGAAGUGGGUGUGUGUGUUGGAUGAGAGAGAUGGCGUCUAUACCGAAAGAGCCAGAGCAGGUGAUGAAGCUUAGAGACGGAUCUGUACUCGGCAAGAAGACGAUUCUCAAGAGCGAUCAUUUCCCAGGCUGUCAGAACAAGCGUAUGACUCCCCAGAUCGAUGGCGCUCCCAAUUACCGUCAGGUCUCUCCUCGAUUUUGAUUCUCUUCGUUGCUAUUGAUUAGGGCUAGCUCUCUGUGUACCAAAUCGAAAUCGGAUCAGUGAAGAUGCGUUUGGGCUACUUAGGGAUCAGAAACGAAUAGGCAUUUCUCUCUUUGAUUCUAGGUCGAAUCGAUGUUUGAUGUACACCACUCGCUGUAUUGUUGAUUGGAUGUUGUGGACUAUGUUGUAACAGGCUGAGUCACUACGAGUUCACGGGGUUGCAAUCCCAACGGCUGUUGGGAUACGGAAUGUUCUUAGGCACAUUGGAGCUCAUAAGGAUGGUAAACAAGUUCAAGUUCUUUGGAUUAGUCUUAGGGAGGAACCGGUAUGUAUCCUUUCUAUAAAGCCUCUGCAUAUGUCACUUAUCGUUGCUUCUUAUUAACUUGUUAUUUUACUCUACAUUUGUCAGGUAGUAUACAUAAAUGGGCGACCGUUUGUUUUGCGUGAUGUGGAGAAGCCUUUCACCAAUCUUGAGUACACGGUACAAAGCCUUACCCUGCUAAUUUGUUUUCACUUGAUCUUUAAUUUGUAUCAUGUCAAUCCGCUAGUUUGAUGGCUUGAAGCAUUUUAUCUCCACUGAGCAAAUCAGAAAUGACAAUGUAUCCGUGGUUCCUUUCAUUUCUGACCUUAAGUUCAUCUUUCUGUUCAGGGAAUCAACAGGGUAAGGGUAGAGCAAAUGGAAGCACGGUUGAAAGAAGAUAUUCUCAUGGAGGCUUCUAGGUAUAUGUUUACCUGUAUCCUCUGAGUCUUACAACGGUGUAACUUUUUUUCUUUCUGCUUUGCGGUGUAUUUGACUAUUUUCCUGGCAGAUAUGGGAAUAAGAUACUGGUCACUGAUGAACUGCCGGAUGGUCAGAUGGUGGACCAGUGGGAGCCAGUCUCAACUGAUUCCUUAAAGACGCUGCUUGAGGUAGGACUUUGGAAUGAAGAAUCUAUGUGUUUGACACAGAGCAUUUAUCCUUUUAUGUGGUUUCCAUGUCAUUGUUUUUUGCUUGUACGCUUCUCUGGACCCAGGUUUACGAAGAACUGCAAGCUGAAGGCUACCUUGUUGAUUAUGAGCGUGUUCCUGUAACGGAUGAAAAGUCACCUAAAGAAACAGAUUUUGAUGCGUUGGUAAGUCUUAUGCUUACGAAAUUAGUGAGAACGUUUUUGUGGGUAACUUUGGCGAAACGCAAAGCUAGGAUAGUUUGUUUUCAUUCCUUUCCUAAAGUCAAAAUGUUCAGUGAUCUCAUCUCUUUCCGUUUAGUAUUCGCUAGGUGCAUAACAUAAUACGUCCCUGUCAACUAGUAUACUAAUUUACAUGUGUUUUUGCAGAUUAAGAAGAUAUCUCAAGCGGACAUUAAUACGGAGAUAAUUUUUAAUUGUCAAAUGGGACGUGGACGUACAACGACGGGAAUGGUUAUUGCAACUCUCGUCUAUUUCAAGCGUACUGGAGCAUCAGGUACUUCAUCCUCAUGUGAAGAGAGGUUCUAACGGAUGCUCUUUCUAACAAAUUAUAUUUGUAUUUAAAACAGAAAGAACCUAAUUUGGAGAACAUUAUUUUGAAUUGUCUACUGUACCUUUUGGAAUGUCGUAGUGCUUUAUAGUUUAGAAAGAAAUGAAAUGGUAUGGACUAGCCAAAUAAUCACAUGCAUAUAUGUAUUUCCAGGAGCCACGUUUUCUGGAACAAAAUAUACUCCAAAGAGUCAUGACAGAUUGGUGUUUAAGUCGGUACAUUAUGGUAGAAGUUUGCACUAACCUGCCUUUUUUUUUGCUAUAUCUCUUUGAAUAAAGAUCAUGGAUUCCCAAGAAACAACUCUUUUGGGAGAAUCUUUAAAGCUGGUGAAAACAUUACUAUAAAUCUGCCAAAUUCUGAGGAGGCAAUUCGUAGAGGGGAAUAUGCAGUUGUUAGAAGUUUGAUACGAGUCCUAGAGGUAUUUAGUCCCUUUGUGCUUGUCUUUAUUUGAUCUUGUUGCUGGUCCGGCUGGUUCUAAUCAUUAACUUGUUUCAUGAUUCCACAGGGUGGUGUAGAAGGCAAAAGGCAAGUUGAUAAAGUCAUCGACAAAUGUGCAUCCAUGCAGGUCUUUUUUGUCAAUUUUAAUACUAAAGUAUACGAUCUAAUAAUAUAUAAACCGUGUAGUGUUUUGUCUUAUGGGUUUUCACUUAAGGUAAAAGAUCUAAAUAUUAUCGUUGAAUCAACUUACAGAACUUACGAGAGGCGAUUGCAACCUAUCGGAGUAGUAUUUUGCGUCAACCUGAUGAAAAAAAGAGAGAGGCAGCACUCUCAUUCUUUGUUGAGUACUUGGAAAGAUACUACUUCCUUAUAUGUUUUGCUGUGUACCUUCAUUCAGAGGGUGGUUACCUUCAAUCUGGUUCGCUUGGUCAUGUCAGUUUUUCUGAUUGGAUGCGAGCUAGGCCAGAGCUCUAUAGCAUUCUUCGCAGGUACUGGACAGGCGUCUUUUUUUUUCCCUUUGAAUUUGAAUGCUAAAAAUUAGACUGCAUAUGGUAUUCAGCCGUCUCAUGUAAGUUCAUAUUCCUCUUUAGGUUGCUCAGGAGAGAUCCUAUGGGUGCCCUUGGAUAUGCGGCUAUGAAGCCUUCUUUGACAAAGAUUGCAGAAUCUACUGAUGGGCGCCCUCAUGAGAUGAGUGUCGUUGCUGCACUUAGAAGUGGGGAAGUACUGGGAAGUCAGACUGUUCUAAAGAGUGAUCAUAGUCCCGGUUGUCAAAUUCUAAGUCUACCAGAGAGGGUGGAAGGAGCACCAAAUUUUAGAGAGGUUCCAGGAUUUCCUGUAUAUGGUGUAGCGAACCCAACUAUAGAUGGUAUUCGAUCUGUCAUUGAAAGGGUUGGGAGUUCAAGAGGUGGCCGGCCUGUCUUUUGGCACAACAUGAGAGAAGAACCUGUUAUAUACAUCAACGGGAAACCGUUUGUGCUACGUGAAGUUGAAAGGCCAUAUAAGAACAUGCUAGAAUAUACGGUAAAUAAUCUGUAUGUUUUUAGUAUAUUAGCCGAUACUAAUGAAUUGGUCAAAAAGCUGACAUAAGUACCUUUGUUUAGGGGAUUGAUCGCGAUAGAGUCGAAGGAAUGGAGGCUCGUUUGAAAGAGGAUAUUCUGAGAGAAGCUAGGCGGUAUGAUGGUGCGAUAAUGGUUAUUCAUGAAACCAAGGAUGGACAGAUUUUUGACUUAUGGGAACAUGUGGAUGCUGAUUCUGUUCAAACACCCCUCGAGGUGUACAAAAGUUUAGAGGCCGAUGGCUUUCCUAUUAAGUACGCCCGUGUGCCUAUUACCGAUGGUAAAGCGCCUAAAAGCUCUGACUUUGACACAUUGACGUCCAAUAUCGCUUGUGCUUCCAAAGACACUGCUUUUGUCUUCAAUUGCCAGGUUGAGAUUCACAAUCUGCUUUGGUAUUUGAUAUAUUAAGUAUUCUUGAGUUUUGCUGUUCGACUUACAAAGGGAAUUCCUUUUUUUCAUUCACAGAUGGGUAGAGGUAGAACAACCACUGGAACUGUUAUUGCAUGUCUAGUGAAGCUCCGCAUCAAUUAUGGAAGACCUAUUAAGGUUCUGUAUGAUGUUCUGACCCAUGAAAUCGUGGAUGAAGAUUCAUCAAGUGGUGGUGAAGAAACUGGAAGCAAUACCGCUGAAACAAGACCUCUUAUUUCAGAAAGAAGAACCGAGGACCAGCAGGGCCGUACAUUUGGAAUGGAUGACAUCCUCCUGCUGUGGAAAAUCACUAGGUUAUUCGAUAACGGAGUUGAAUCUCGUGAGGCGUUAGAUGCUGUGAUUGAUAGAUGUUCUG